GACGAACGCUGGCGGCGUGCUUAACACAUGCAAGUCGAACAGUAAGGCCCUUCGGGGUACACGAGUGGCGAACGGGUGAGUAACACGUGGGUGAUCUGCCCUGCACUUCGGGAUAAGCCUGGGAAACUGGGUCUAAUACCGGAUAGGACCACUGCCUGCAUGGGUGGUGGUGGAAAGCUUUUGCGGUGUGGGAUGGGCCCGCGGCCUAUCAGCUUGUUGGUGAGGUGAUGGCCUACCAAGGCGACGACGGGUAGCCGGCCUGAGAGGGUGACCGGCCACACUGGGACUGAGAUACGGCCCAGACUCCUACGGGAGGCAGCAGUGGGGAAUAUUGCACAAUGGGCGCAAGCCUGAUGCAGCGACGCCGCGUGAGGGAUGACGGCCUUCGGGUUGUAAACCUCUUUCAGCACCGACGAAGCGCAAGUGACGGUAGGUGCAGAAGAAGGACCGGCCAACUACGUGCCAGCCGCCGCGGUAA
rnacentral:rRNA from 1 species